rnacentral:RNase_P_RNA from 1 species
GCCGCAAACCACUCUAUCGCGGGCUCGUGCAAAUGAGCGUGAGGAAAGUCCGGACAACGUAGAGCACCACACCAUCUAACGGAUGGGCUGCUGCUUUGAGCGCAAGCUCGAAACAGUGGACAGAGAGGGUCACAGAAAAGAAACUACCGCGCAAGCGGAAAAGGUGAAAACGUGUGGUAAGAGCACACGCGGCCAGGUAGCAAUAUCCGGUGUGGAUAAACCUUGUGGGUUGAAAUGUCAAGUAUACCUCAAUUGGGCGCAAGCCCAGCAGAGCUGCUCGCUUUGUUUUUGCAAAAAAGUUGGGGAGGGUAGGCAGAUGGAUCCCGCUCGCAAGAACGGGACUAGAUAAAUGAUAGAGGCUAUUGCCUUCGGGCAGUAGAACAGAAUCCGGCUUAUCGGUUUGCGGCAAAU